CCAGCAGGUCUGAUGAGGAGAGGACCUCAGGAACAGGAGAUGGACCCCAGACUAUAACCAAGAACUCCUAUAUCAACUCACAGAAUGGCCUGGGUUGCCAGAUGUUUUGUGAUGGUGCCUCCUGUUGGCUGAACCCAGAAGGUGCAAGAGCCUUGAAGAUGAAAUUCAUCAUUGGUCUCCUGAGAGUAGAUUUUGAGGAACAAAUGGAAGAUAUCUGGCCCAUGUGUGUUUGCAGAUGAUAUCAUGGAACUAAUGUUCUGAAGAACACACUUUGAAAAAUACUUGUCAAGUCUAAUCCUCCUUUUUGACAACAAAAUUUGAGGUGAGCAGAAGACAAAGAAGUUUCUUUAAGGUU